GAUGAACGCUGGCGGCGUGCCUAAUACAUGCCAGUCGAGCGAACAGACGAGGAGCUUGCUCCUCUGACGUUAGCGGCGGACGGGUGAGUAACACGUGGAUAACCUACCUAUAAGACUGGGAUAACUUCGGGAAACCGGAGCUAAUACCGGAUAAUAUAUUGAACCGCAUGGUUCAAUAGUGAAAGACGGUUUUGCUGUCACUUAUAGAUGGAUCCGCGCCGCAUUAGCUAGUUGGUAAGGUAACGGCUUACCAAGGCAACGAUGCGUAGCCGACCUGAGAGGGUGAUCGGCCACACUGGAACUGAGAACCGGUCCAGACUCCUACGGGAGGCAGCAGUAGGGAAUCUUCCGCAAUGGGCGAAAGCCUGACGGAGCAACGCCGCGUGGGUGAUGAAGGUCUUCGGAUCGUAAAACUCUGUUAUUAGGGAAAAACAAAUGUGUAAGUAACUAUGCACGUCUUGACGGUACCUAAUCAGAAAGCCACGGCUAACUACGUG
rnacentral:rRNA from 1 species